rnacentral:RNase_P_RNA from 1 species
AGUCAGCUGGGCAAUUGCCGCUUAAUCCUCUAUAGCUAAAUGUUAUUGAGAUGAGGGGAGGAAAGUCCGGGCUCCGCAGAGCAGGGUGCCAGGUAACGCCUGGGAGGUGAGAACCUACGGCAAGUGCAACAGAAAGGAUACCGCCUUGAACGAAUUUUUAAUUUGUAAUGGGUAAGGGUGAAAUGGUGCGGUAAGAGCGCACCGCGCAGCCGGUAACGGAUUGUGGCUAGGUAAACCCCACUCGGAGUAAGGCCAAAUAGGAAUCUAAUAAUGUUGCUCGCAUUGGGUUCGGGUAGGCCGCUAAAGGUCUGCGGUGACGCAGUCCGUAGAUGAAUAAUUGUCCUUGACAGAACCCGGCUUACAGGCUGACUUUU